GAGGAUGUAACUCAGCCGGAUAGAGCGCCUGUCUUCGAAACAGGAAGCCACAGGUUCAAUUCCUGUCAUCCUCG
rnacentral:tRNA from 1 species